CAGGUUGAAGGUUGGGUAACACUAACUGGAGGACCGAACCGACUAAUGUUGAAAAAUUAGCGGAUGACCUGUGGCUGGGGGUGAAAGGCCAAUCAAACCGGGAGAUAGCUGGUUCUCCCCGAAAGCUAUUUAGGUAGCGCCUCGUGAAUUCAUCUCCGGGGGUAGAGCACUGUUUCGGCUAGGGGGCCAUCCCGGCUUACCAACCCGAUGCAAACUGCGAAUACCGGAGAAUGUUAUCACGGGAGACACACGGCGGGUGCUAACGUCCGUCGUGAAGAGGGAAACAACCCAGACCGCCAGCUAAGGUCCCAAAGUCAUGGUUAAGUGGGAAACGAUGUGGGAAGGCCCAGACAGCCAGGAUGUUGGCUUAGAAGCAGCCAUCAUUUAAAGAAAGCGUAAUAGCUCACUGGUCGAGUCGGCCUGCGCGGAAGAUGUAACGGGGCUAAACCAUG
rnacentral:rRNA from 1 species